rnacentral:ncRNA from 1 species
GAUGAGCAAUAACAGGUCUGUGAUGCCCUUAGAUGUUCGGGUCCGCACGCGCGCUACACUGACCGGAUCAGCGUGUGCUCUCCUUGGCCGACAGGUCCGGGAAACCCGUUGAACCCCGGUCGUGCUAGGGAUAGGGAAUUGCAAUUAUUUCCCUUGAACGAGGAAUUCCCAGUAAGCGCGAGUCAUUAGCUCGCGUUGAUUACGUCCCUGCCCUUUGUACACACCGCCCGUCGCUACUACCGAUUGAAUGGUUUAGUGAGGUCCUCCGAUUGGACCCGGUCCGGGCGGCGACGUCCGAGCCGGCGUCCGAGAAGACGAUCUAACUUGAUCAUUUAGAGGAAGUAAAAGUCGUAACAAGGUUUCCGUAGGUGAACCUGCGGAAGGAUCAUUA